UGCUCUUUCACCUGCUCUCAUAACCGUGCC
rnacentral:piRNA from 1 species